rnacentral:rRNA from 1 species
CGUAGGGGGCAAGCGUUGUCCGGAAUUAUUGGGCGUAAAGCGCGUGCAGGCGGCGGAUUAAGUCGGAUGUUUAAGAUCGGGGCUCAACCCCGAUUCGCAUCCGAAACUGGUCCGCUUGAGUGUAGGAGAGGAAAGUGGAAUUCCACGUGUAGCGGUGAAAUGCGUAGAGAUGUGGAGGAACACCAGUGGCGAAGGCGACUUUCUGGCCUAUAACUGACGCUGAGGCGCGAAAGCGUGGGGAGCAAACAGGAUU